rnacentral:rRNA from 1 species
AUUGAACGCUAGCGGGAUGCUUUACACAUGCAAGUAGAACGAGUGGCGGACGGGUGAGUAAUAUAUCGGAACGUGCCCAGUAGCGGGGGAUAACUACUCGAAAGAGUGGCUAAUACCGCAUACUAUUUGAGCCGUCGAUAUCGGAUUAGAUACAUGGUGGGGUAAAGGCUAACCAAGGCAACGAUCUGUAGCUGGUUUGAGAGGACGACCAGCCACAUUGGGACUGAGACCCGGCCCAGACUCCUACGGGAGGCAGCAGUGGGGAAUUUUGGACAAUGGGGGCAACCCUGAUCCAGCCAUCCCGCGUGUAUGAGAAUGCCUUCGGGUUUUAAAGUACUUUUGGCAGAGAAGCGGUAUCUGCAGAAUAAGCACCGGCUAACUACGUGCCAGCAGCCGCGGUAAUUC